AGAUGGAGACUCAGCUGGAAGUUAAAGGGAAGAAUGACAUGGGGAGACCAAGCGUUGGUGAGCAAGAUGUUGCAGAUACUCUUUUAUUGGAAUAUAAUUGGAUUGCAGUGUUGUGUUAGUCUCUGCUGUACAACAAUGUGAAGCAGUUAUAAAUACACACAGAUCCCCAGCGUCCUGUGUCUUCCCCCUGCCCCGCCCCGCCCCCGGGUCAUCACAGAGCCGGGAGCUGAGCUCCUUUUGCCACACUGCAGCUUCCCGCAGCCGUCUGUCUUUUCACAUGGCGGUGUGUAUAUGUCCAUCGAAGAGUUGACUCAUUGGAAAGGACUCUGAUGCUGGGAGGGAUUGGGGGCAGGAGGAGAAGGGGACGACAGAGGAUGAGAUGGCUGGAUGGCAUCACUGACUGGAUGAACGUGAGUCUCAGUGAACUCCGGGAGUUGGUGAUGGACAGGGAGGCCUGGCGUGCUGCGAUUCACGGGGUCGAAAACAGUCGGACACGACUGAGUGACUGAACUGAACUGAACUGAAAUUGACUUAUGGACAAUAAUUUGCUGAGAUUCGACUCACCUUGUGUUUCUUGCACUCAGGUUACCAUUGUUACUCCAAAGAGAACUCCCAGAAUUAGGCUAUUUAUCAUUUGAAAUUGUAGCCCCGAAAGAUCAAAACUCCGUCUCCUUGGCUCUUUGACAACCUGCGCAGAACUGAGGCUGUAACCAGGACAUCUGUACCAGGCCCCAGCCAUUUGGUACAUCACCCACAACCAUCCCUUUAAGUGAGGUUGCCCAGGCCACCACCCUUACGUGAAUGGAAGCCCACCUUGUAUCACUCGGGCCCCGUGUUCAUCACAGCUAAAUGGACCUGGAGACAGCACCUGACAUCAGAUGAACCCCUCCGUGUGCUGGCCUGUGGCCUGUGACAUGCUGUGACACUCGAUAGCUUCUCAGGGAGCUGAACUGAGGCAUGGAAAGGCCUUGACAGUUACCAGUGGGCACUGACCACGCCAAGUUUCCAUCAGGUAGUGCUGGAUUCCAAUAGAGUCCAAGGCAGGCUGACAUUAGGUCAUAUAGAAGACAGAGGUGCAGGAUUAGAAAUGCAGAGAGAAAAGAAAAUAGGAAAAUAUAAAUAGAAAAGAAAAAGGAGGACAGAAAGGAAGAAGCUAUGAAGGGUUUGGAACAAACCGAAGGGGUAACAGCUGGUCUCUAAACAGGUGUUUCAAUUAAAGAUAGAGCCUCACAGUCAAAGCCCCUGACUUGAGGUCAUUUGGCUAGUAUUUUCCUCCUGGCUACCCAACACCCGCUUGAAAAGAAGGAGAGUGGCAGUAACCAGCUUAGCCUGGCCUCCCGUUACCUCACACACAGGAGCAUGGAAAUGGUCUUUCCUGACACAACACAUCUUGCUAAAAAACCAAACUCUGUCACGACUUUUUUUCCCUUUCAUCCAUGAAAGACUCUAGCUGAAGUUGUGUAGGAGCAAUACUACCUCCUGAAUCUGCUAAGGGGUACACAGCCAAACACAUACCGAGCUCAAACUGGAGAAGCAGUUCGUAUCUCCUUAAAGUUUCUCCUGAAAUUUUAAUGAAGUGAAGACUUCUGGCCAAAAGCAAAAGCAACUUAAAUUAAAAAAAAAUUCAUGAAAGGAUUUUUAAGACGUGUUUAUUAGAUAUUAUAAAACAUCUCAGGGAAUCUGCUGCUGCUGCUGCUAAGUUACUUCAGUCAUGUCCGACUCUGUGUGACCCCAUAGACAGCAGCCCACCAGGCUCCCCCGUCCCUGGGAUUCUCCAGGCAAGAACACUGAAGUGGGUUGCCAUUUCCUUCUCCAAUGCAUGAAAGUGGAAAGUGAAAGUGAAGUCGCUCAGUCAUGUCCGACUCUUAGCGACCCCACAGACUGCAGCCCA
ensembl:lncRNA